CCAGCAGCCGCGGUAAUUCCAGCUCCAAUAGCGUAUAUUAAAGUUGUUGCAGUUAAAUAGCUCGUAGUUAAUUUUCUGUUAAUAUUUAUAUACAAUGCUACGGUAUUUAUAUAAUAUUAACAUAAUUCAUAUUACUUUUUAGUAUAUGAAACUUUACUUUGAGAAAAUUAGAGUGCUUAAAGCAGGCUAUUGCCUUGAAUACUCCAGCAUGGAAUAAUAUUAAGGAUUUUUAUUCUUCUUAUUGGUUCUAGAAUAAAAAUAAUGAUUAAUAGGGACAGUUGGGGGCAUUUGUAUUUAACAGUCAGAGGUGAAAUUCUUAGAUUUGUUAAAGACAAACUACUGCGAAAGCAUUUGCCAAGGAUGUUUUCAUUAAUCAAGAACGAAAGUUAGGGGAUCGAAGACGAUCAGAUACCGUCGUAGUCUUAACCAUAAACUAUGCCAACUAGAGAUUG
rnacentral:rRNA from 1 species